rnacentral:rRNA from 1 species
CGCAGGCGGUUGGGUGUGUCAGAUGUGAAAUCCCGAGGCUCAACCUCGGAACUGCGUCUGAAACUACUCGACUAGAGUACUGGAGAGGGUAACGGAAUUCACGGUGUAGCAGUGAAAUGCGUAGAUAUCGUGAGGAACACCAGAGGCGAAGGCGGUUACCUGGACAGUUACUGACGCUCAGGCACGAAAGCAUGGGGAGCAAAAG